AUUUACUGCUAGGAGCAAGGAGCUAGCAUGCAUAACACCUCAUUGUUUGUGGGGUCUCUGUAACACGUAGACCUAUAUGGAUGUGUCUCCAGGAAUUUAUCUGCAUAAAGAAUGGAAGGCUCUUCUAGGAAAACACUCUUCAGAAAGCAUGAGAAAGAGAUUGCAAUGUAGAAUGGUUUGAAGAUCAUGAGCCAGUCUUCUGAGAGAAUGGGCACUGGAUUUGUGCGCAUUGUGUCUUCCCUCAGAUUCAUCCUCAAACCCAGCUCUUGACAAAUACUGGAUCCUACAUAGAGACAGGCUGUCUUCACAACAUGAAAGGAUGGCUUCAUUAAAGGUCCUAGAGAGCCCUGUAAAUGCAGAACAGUGGUGCUUUGAGACCCACUUGGCACCGUACAAAGUAGCUAUGAGGGCAGAAUUCUCCAGGCAUUAGUGGGAAAUGAGUGUAAUUUUGUUUUGUAUUGCUUUAAAGGAAUACCUGAGGCUGGGUAAUUUAUAAAGAAAAGAGGUUUAUUUGGCUCACAGUUCUGCAGGCUGUACAGGAAGCAUGGCGCCAGCAUCUGCUUCUGGUGAGGGCCUCAGGAAGCUUCCAACCAUGGUGGAAGGAAGAGGGGAGCUGCAUGUACAGAGAUCAUGUGGCCAGAGAGGAGCUGAGAUGGUGGGGAAGGCACCAGGCUCUUUUUAAUCAAUGAGCUCUCAGGGGAACCAAUAGAGCAAGAACUCUCUCAUCACGGCCAGGAUGGCACCAAGCCAUUCAAGAGGGAUCCACCCCCAUAACCUGAACAUCUCCCACUAGGCCCCAACUUCAACCUUGGGGACACAAUUUCAACAUGAGGUUUAGGGGACAAACAUCCAAACUAUAGCAGGUUCCAAAGCUUUUAAAGCUUCAGUGAUCCCAGCAAGCCUUGGGUGGCUGAAGGCUUCAGUUCAUGAGUGGCAGCCCUUCUGUGUUCUUGAGAAGAGGGCAGGCUCUGGUGUGGUCUCAGGGGCUGAUAGAGGAAACUCACCUGGUUUCAAGGGGGUGGAGGCCUCAGGUGUAGACAACACAUUGUGGGGCAGAGCCAGAGAGAAGUCACCUGCAGGGUGCUGCUUUGUUGGUGAGAUGUCAUGCUUGUAAGCAUGAAGAUAACACCUCCCACCUCCAUAAAACCCAGAUAUUUUGGGGGAGAGCUUUGCCCCCAAAUGGAAGUUGAUUUUUGAUUAUUUUAAUUUUAAAACUAUACUGAAUAAUAUGGUUUGGCUGUGUCCCCACCCAAAUCUCAUCUGGAAUUGUAGUUCCUAUAAUCCCCACAUGUUAUGGGAGGGACUCAGUGGAAGGUAAUUGAAUCAGGGUGCAGUUAUUUCCAUGCUGUUCUGGUGGUAGUGAGUGAGUUCUCAUGAGAUUUGAUGGUUUUAUAAGGGGCCUCCCCCUCUUCAAUCUGCACGUCUCCUUGCUGCUGCCAUGUGAAGAAGGACAUGUUUGCUUCCACUUCUACCAUGACUGUAAGUUUCCAGAGGCCUCUCCAGUCCUCUGGAACUGUGAGUCAAUUAAACCUCUUUCCAUUAUAAAUUACCCAGUCUCAGGUAUUUCUUUAUUAGCAGCGUGAGAACAGACUAAUACACUGAGAGAUCUGUAUGUUAAUAUUGUCACCUGUGCUGUCUAUCAAAUGUUCUAAAAUUGCAGACCUUGUAGUCUAUUCCAAGCCAUGCCAUCAGUCAGUGAGAUAUUUCAAGACAAUUUUUCUUUGAUGUAAUACUUUGGAAGAAAUUAUUUAGUGCUCCCUCAAUAAACAAACAAAAAUAAAUAAAUAAAUAAAUAAAUAAAAAUCAGUAGAAACUAUGAAAACACCAGGAAAAUGAAGCCCCUGGAUGACAGUUGUGCCUCUGACAUGUGAUGGACCAGAGGAGUGAGCCAGGUACCUACGGAGAAGCCGAUGGAAUUGACUCAAUAAAACAGAAGUGGAAAAAUAUUGGUGAUGUCAUCAAUCAAACAGUCCCUUUUCCAAGUUCAACAAAUGCUACAGAAACUUUAUGAUUACAAUAUAAAGGAAAAAACAUCUCAAGAGAAAUUUAGUUUAUGUGAACAGGGACUAAGUGGGCACGGUUUUGAGAAAAUGAUGGAUUUUCAAAUGCUGGGAACAUUUACCCUGGAGUUUGCAGGGUUCUUGACAAAGAAUUCAUGGACAAAGGAGUAAUGGUCCCAGCAUGGAACUAGACCCUGCGCUGAACGAUACUCAUGUAAUUACCAUACUGUCAUGCACUCUUACAUUUUUAAUCGUUUAGACUUAAAAGAUAAAACUAAAAUGUAUUAUAUUUGUUAUCAAUAAAACAAUGCAAAAUUAAUAUGAAAAUGUAUAUAAAUAAUGUGUUUGACAAUAUGGGGACAAAAUCAUAAUUGGCAGAAAAAAAGGUAAUCAAAAAAAACCAACUAAGCCAAAUCAAAUUGAGGAAAAAGGGCUCAAAAAUAACAUAACUGAAUUUAAUUCUUAUAUUUUAUAGCAAGAUAUCUAUCUAUCUAUUUAUUAUCUAUCUAUCUAUCUAUAGUGGUAUGUGUUCAUUAUUUACUGUUGGGAGAAAAUUCUGGAGAAACAGAGUCAGAAACACUUGAAGUGUUUGCCCCAGCACAACAGCAAAGGGAAUGAGGUGCUGUUCUGUUGCCUUCAUAGCAUUUUUUCUAUAUUAUUAUAUUUUUUAGCACGAUAACAAAAAUAAAACAUGACAACCUGUUGGUACAAUCUGUUCCAUGUUUUUUUUUUUUUUUUUAAUGAUCUUGGCUGUCCAGAAACAACAAUAAGGAGACAGUUCCUUCAUCACCCCGACUUUCCAGGCAAUGAGUGUAGACGUGGAACCAUGAAGAGAAACCUCCCAGCACCUGGACUUGGGGUGCCCGCACCAAGAUGGGGACCAUGCACCCUGUCUGACUGACUCUGCUCCGAGUAGGUCAGGGCCUGGGGCACCUCACUUCACUUUUCUGAGCCUGAUUUAUUCUUAUUAUGAAUAAAACUCAGAGUUUAAUGAGAUUUGUGGUUUCCAAAAUAUUUUUGCAUGCAGAAACAUUUCUUUAAAAGGAAUUAUGAAGCCUACAGGCUGUUUUUCACUGAUGCUGCUACCCACCACAGUGAUGAGCGCAAGCCUUACAAUAAAAGUAAUUGUUAAAUUUAAUUUAGCUCAUGGUUUAUGUAAAUAUUACAUCUUUUUUUAUGUACAGGUCAUUUUCUUAUUGAACAUUAUAAUAAAUAGUAAACAAAAGGUUUUACAGAAAUUGCUAGUGUACCUGGGAAGCUUUGUUCAGAUAGAGGGUUUUUUUUCCUUCCUAUAAGUGAUUCAACUGCUGAAAAAACUAGCUGCAAAUUUAUUGAAGACAUGUUUUAAAUAGCAUCACAUAAAAGGCAUGAUGGACAUCAGACUUGGUAACUGUCAUUAAAAUUGUUGUUCAUAUAUUUAUUUUCUAAAGUGUGUAUAUUUUUAUUAAAAUGUAGAUUAUUAAUUUCACCUGUGUAGGUCAUAUUCAUCUGAAUUAUUAAGCUAUAUAUAGUUUAAUUCAGCUAUGGACUGUUAUACUGGAUCUUACUAAUAGCCAGUUAAUAGGAGAACGUGAAAAUUCCAUUACAAAGAAGUUAAUGAGAAAGUGAGAAUUCUGCUACAGAGAUAGCUCUGAAUGUUUGGAAGCACUGAAUAGCUGUAAUGACUUUACUUUAUUCUUCAAGUGUAGGAAAUUAUCUCUCAUGCAUUCCUUCUUUUUUCUUUAAACAACAAAUAAAACCAGUUACU
rnacentral:lncRNA from 10 species